AAACUUUCAACAACGGAUCUCUUGGUUCUCGCAUCGAUGAAGAACGCAGCGAACUGCGAUACGUAAUGUGAAUUGCAGAAUUCCGUGAAUCAUCGAAUCUUUGAACGCACAUUGCGCCCCUUGGUAUUCCGGGGGGGCAUGCCUGUUUGAGCGUCAUUU
rnacentral:rRNA from 1 species